rnacentral:rRNA from 1 species
UACGGAGUGUGCAAACGUUGCUCGGAAUCAUUGGGCGUAAAGCGCACGUAGGUGGCUUGUUAAGUCGGGUGUGAAAUCCCUGGGCUCAACCCAGGAAGUGCACUCGAAACUGGCGAGCUUGAGUACUGAAGAGGGUCGCGGAAUUCCCGGUGUAGAGGUGAAAUUCGUAGAUAUCGGGAGGAACACCAGUGGCGAAGGCGGCGACCUGGGCAGAUACUGACACUGAGGUGCGAAAGCGUGGGGAGCAAACAGG